ensembl:lncRNA CASC2 cancer susceptibility 2
GGUUGCCGUGGCGACUGGAGGCGCGCGACGCGGGCGCAAUGGCGGGGACCCGGGGCUUGAUGCUGCUUGGGCCUGGCCCAGUGGCGGGUCCUAGGGACGUGGGUACCUGCAGAGGCCGGCAGAUGGAGAUUCAGAAACAUAAGGACAACAAGAAACUUCCCCAAGGUAUCAUUAUAGUCUUUAGACUUCAGACACACACCACACCUCAAAUAUAUACACAACUGAAAGGAAAAUUAAGGAAGUUUUUCAAAGAACCCUAUUCCGAGUAAGAAGUGUGUUGCAUGAAUUUCUAAGAGCCAGAAAAUGCAUGACACAGGAGAAGAUGUACCCUCAUCUGUUCAGUGAGAGAUGUGCAAAUCAACAUCAACACAGAACUGCUGAAGAAAAAAAAUAUGUGUGUGGAUUAUAUAUAUACAUAUAAGUGUGUGUAUAUAUAUAUAUAUAUAUAUUUACAUAUAUAGUAUGGGCUAUUUCACCUUUGCAAGCUGGGAGCCAUUAAGUAAUGGCUACCACCACUCCCCCACCCCCUUCAGUAAAACACAUCCUGAACAUUGGGCCCAUGUUUUCAAGAAGAAUGUGCCCCACUGCCCCUUGGAAACUCCAUUUCAUUUACUUGGUUCAGUUAGUUAAUGACGGUCCAUUUUGACUCAAAUAUCCAGUUCCCUUUCAUCAAUCAUGUCUUUCUGGACUGUCAGUUUUAGGGCAAGGAUUACAAAGCCCUUCCAUGCAGAUAUCCACAGAGAAAGACCCAGACCCACAUCCCCAUUUAGGAUUGCUUAGGGACUCAUUUCUUCCGCUUCCUUCCAAAUGAAAAGAAUGAGCUAUGUGAAAGGGGAAAACCCCACUGGAAAAUGAAUGUUGGUGACUCAAGUGUUAAUCUAGAAAGUCUUAUGAUUUGGUGCUGGAAAAGGGCAUUGUAAUAAGAUGGUUCUUUAUACCAUGCAAACCAGGGGAAUACAAAACACUGUCAACCAUGAAAAUAAGAUUUAAUUUGGAAUCACAACACAUAGGGUUUUUUCCACUUUAAAUUCUUUUUAUUCAUUCAUAUUUGUUAUAAAUAUUCAAUAGAAAUGCAGUUUUUCAAGACUGAAAUGGUCUUUAAUGAAGCAAGCCAUGUGUGGCUUUUCAGGCGAGCAUUUUCAUGCUUGGUUAACUGUAAGGAUGUUCAUGUUCCUUUCCCAAAAAAUAUGAUUUGUGAUUCUGCUUAGGUCUCUGAAAAGCAACUUAUUCACUGGAGAUGUGAGGAGCCAUCCGCACAUCACAAUUCUAUAGACAUCAAACGCAUGAAGCAUUUCGGAUCUGCUUUAAGACUGAGGCAGACUUUCCAUCUGGACACAGCCGACCAUCCAUGUGUCAUUACAAUGAAUCCAGCACUUCCCUGGAAGCUGGAAGGGUCAAAUUCAACUUCAACUCUGCCACUUCCUGCUUAACUUGCUGUUUAACCUUGGGCAAGCUGCCAUCCCACACGAGGCCGAAGGUGUCGGUUUUUAAAAUACAGAAAUUUGGUUCCAUGAGGGAUUAUCAAUAUACUGCUGGUGGGCCAAAUUCCAUCUGCUACUUGCCUUUGUAAAUAAAGUUUUAUUGAAACACAAACAUGCCCAUUAGUUUACUCUUGUCUGUGACUACAAGGGCAAAGUUGAAUAGUUGUUACAGAGACCAUCAGGCUCACAAAGCCUAGGUUAUUUACUAUCUGCCCAUUUACAGAGUAAGUUUGCCAGCCCUGGACUGGAUAAUUUUUUGAGUUCUUUCUAAUUCUAGAAUUCUUUAUAUAUUUUAUGAAACCCCUAAUGUUUAUAUAUUAAUUAUUUCAAUACCCGUGUCUUUACUGAGUCCCUCCUAUGAAGCAUACAUCAAGACAUAUGUGUGAUACAUUAACUAAACUUUUAACAGUAUCUUAAAUAGGAUUUCAAUGACUAACAGCUCUUGGAAAUAUCCAAGGUAACAUUUGGGGGCAAAUGUCUUAUGAUUUGAUUAUCAUUGGUAAAUAGAGCAUAUCUUUUUUUCCACUAACAAUGUUUAAGAAGUUAAAAAAAAAUCAAGAAAACCCCGUAUGGCACUAGAGACUUAUUGCAUUAAGACAUCAUCUUAACAGAUUGUUUAGUUUUGGUAAUAUAAUUUGACAUCUAAACAUAAGCUGAGAGGGAUCUCCCUCAAAACCUUUGAUAAUAUGAUUCAUUGUCAAAUGUUUGUUUUGCCUAUCUGGCACUCAUUAAUUAAUUCUUUUUAAUAUAGCUUGGAUUUACUGAUUUUGAAAAAGAGAAUUAUUCUUAUUGAUGUUGCUAAAAUAUCCAGGUGGCUUGAAUUUCACCAACUAGAUAGUUUAAUCUAGCACAUUUGUGUAGCCCUAAUCAAAUCUUUACUAACAGAUGUGAGAAGCCCAGUACUGGAGCUAAUGUUUGUGUCUCAAUGAUAAUUAAAUUAGCUUAAUAAGGAAAAUAAAUGAACAAUAAUCACCAAAAUUUUUCCCUAAACCUGUGUUAUAGUCUUAAAAACAUUUUUUCCCCUAUGGAGGCUUUUGGUAAUAAAACACAAAUUGAGGGAUUUUAAUUAAAAGAAAUUUUUUUUUCAAGAACUGGUCAUGUACUAAAUUGCUUAUAAUCAAAUAAUCAAGUAGCAUUUCUUUUAUUAUAAGAGCAAAACCUAUAAUUAAGCCAAAAUUCAAAUUUGUUUUUAAAGGUUGAAUAAUCUUUUGUUUUGGCCAAUAGUAUGUGGAUUUUUUUUUUAAGUAUUAUCUCUUUGUAGUAUUUUCUAAUGGAUAGGAAAUGCCUUUCUCAGGUUGAAUGAUUAUUUCCACAUAGAAUUAGUUCCUGCUUACAACAGUGCUCCACUAAUGUAAUGGCUCGGUGAAUUGGCUUUAUAAUUCAUUAAUCAUAGCUCACAUUGAGCUUUUGGCUCCAGGUGACAGUGCCCACCACAGGCCAAAUAACUUCUCAUUUAAAGGCAAUUUGUACAAAUAGGGAAGGUGAGAAUUCUCACAGUCCCAGAGGGAUUGAAGAGUUUUAAAAAACCAAGAUAAGGCAUUUUAUGGAAGACAGGUUGAUGGAAGAAAAGUGGCCAUUGGAGGAUGAGGCAGAUGGCUUUCCAGGGAGGCCCUGGAGCUGCCACCAUGGGGAAGGCCAUGUUGCAGCUGCUGAUCAGAGCACAUUGGACGGUGUUUCCGUGUGAACAUGAAGACAAUGCUGCCUCUGUUUCUGUGACGCUGUGCUCUGAUCUUGCUGGAGGCGAAGUGGUGUCAGCUGUGCUUACAGGACAGUCAGUGGUGGUAGAAAAGAGGCCAGUGUGACCUGUGAAGGACUGGGCCCCUCUCACUCAACCUGAGUGCCUGCAGUUGUGGCCACCUUUAUUUGUGUAUUCUACUGUAUUUAUUUAUUUGCCUGGCUAAUUAGCUCUGUGCCACAUUCCUAAGCUAGAUGUGUCCCUUCAUGUAAGUGAGAGGGAGACAGAAAGAAAGACUGAGGUGGGGGGUAGGAGAAAGAGAGGAAAGCAAGCAAGAAGAAAGAGAAAGAGAGAAGAAGAAAGGAAGAGGAAAGAAAGAGAGAAAGAGAAAGAGAAGGAAGGAAGGAGAAAGAGAAGGAAAGAAGGAGCCUUCUAAUUUUAUUUCAUUUCUCCAAUAAAUGUUCCUAUAUUAAGACUUUAGACAAAGAUUAGAAAUAUGAUUUGACAGAAAGUGUAUGGAUGUGUUGUUCUAUUGCAUUGUAAGUAAAGUAUCCAUGGCAAUAUACAAAUAAUACAGCUCCUACCCCUAUUCUCUGUUGUUACUUUCAUGUGUUGUCUUAACUUUUUAAAUUUCAAGAUAAUAUUGCGCUUAUUUAUUUUUCCAUGAGGAGGCCUAGGAUUUAGCUUGAUUAGAAAAGCUGUGGAAAAUGAAUGUGCUAAUUACUUUAAAUCAAAUUGAAAAUAAAUUUUAUCCUGUUUCAUGCAAAACAUAGUG